rnacentral:lncRNA from 1 species
AAAUUCAAUGUUUUAUUCUGAGCACUGUACAUAUGAACAACUUUAUUGAUAAUACAUCUUUAAAUUGUCAGCAUUCUACAUUCGAAGAAUAGCUGUUUCUUUAAGAGUCUCCAGUCGAUAUGCACCCGAUCUAAGUGUCUCAAUUAUUCUGUAGAGUCCUUCCCAAUUUGGAGAUAAUUUUUUCUAGUCCAAAGGCUUUGAGAUUUCUGCCUUUCUUAAAAUCAGAUCUCCUGGACGGA